CACGUAGGCGGAUAUUUAAGUCAGGGGUGAAAUCCCAGAGCUCAACUCUGGAACUGCCUUUGAUACUGGGUAUCUUGAGUAUGGAAGAGGUAAGUGGAAUUCCGAGUGUAGAGGUGAAAUUCGUAGAUAUUCGGAGGAACGCCAGUGGCGAAGGCGGCUUACUGGUCCAUUAAUGACGCUGAGGUGCGAAAGCGUGGGGAGCAAACA
rnacentral:rRNA from 1 species